GGGUUGUGAGGUUAAGCGACUAAGCGUACACGGUGGAUGCCCUGGCAGUCAGAGGCGAUGAAGGACGUGCUAAUCUGCGAUAAGCGUCGGUAAGGUGAUAUGAACCGUUAUAACCGGCGAUUUCCGAAUGGGGAAACCCAGUGUGAUUCGUCACACUAUCGUUAACUGAAUACAUAGGUUAACGAAGCGAACCGGGGGAACUGAAACAUCUAAGUACC
rnacentral:rRNA from 2 species